rnacentral:rRNA from 1 species
GACGAACGCUGGCGGCGUGCUUAACACAUGCAAGUCGAACGAUGAACCCGGAGCUUGCUCCGGUGGAUUAGUGGCGAACGGGUGAGUAACACGUGAGUAACCUGCCCUUGACUCUGGGAUAACUGCGGGAAACUGUAGCUAAUACCGGAUACGACCCUCGGCGGCAUCGCCAGGGGGUGGAAAGAAUUUCGGUCAAGGAUGGACUCGCGGCCUAUCAGCUAGUUGGUGAGGUAACGGCUCACCGAGGCGACGACGGGUAGCCGGGCUGAGAGGGUGAACGGCCACACUGGGACUGAGACACGGCCCAGACUCCUACGGGAGGCAGCAGUUGGGAAUAUUGCACAAUGGGCGCAAGCCUGAUGCAACAACGCCGCGUGAGGGAUGACGGCCUUCGGGUUGUAAACCUCUUUUAGUAGGGAAGAAGCGAAAGUGACGGUACCUGCAGAAAAAGCACCGGCUAACUACGUGCCAGCCGCCGCGGUAA